CUCCUUACGCCUCUGCUCCCUCUAAGCCGCCACACACCCUUACCUCUCAGCUCUUAUCUUCCUCACCUUCCUCCACAUGCCACUCAAACGAGAAAGAACCCAACGCUCAAACCCCUUUUUCCGAUAUCUCUCCCUCUUCUCUCCCAACUCCCCGCCUCCCUCAUCUAUUUCCCCUCUCCUCUUCUUUCUUUCACUCUUAUCUUAAACAAUGGCGGGACGACAACAAAAGGACCGUCACCGCCACAUGCAGCCGACAAAUCUGCCAACGCCGCAUCUGUCCCGUCGUUAUCUCUCAUCGACAAAAUAGUGACAACGAUGAACACCACCGCUGUAUAGCCAUGGAUUCCGGCGAAGUAGCAAAUCCUGAGUAAGCGCAAGUUACCUUGGUCGAAGUUGAUUAGGUCGAAUCAUCGAGAGUUCAUCAUUUUUUAAAGACGAGUCUAUAGGAGAUCCGUCCAGGUACUUGUUCUCUUGGUACUCAUACUACACUCUACAUCUACUUUCGUGGUGCAAAACCAAGCACCAGCAAUCGUCGCGGAUAAAUCGAGCCUAUGAUAGUCAGCUCCGGAGACUAGGGGAUGGUUCGUACACGCGGUACCACCAGUGGUGAUGACCCACCAAGGCCGGGCAGGCCUAGAGGCUUGCCCCGUGGCAUGGGCAGGGGUUCAGUAUCAGCUCUCGAUCCAGAUCUAGCUCCUGAGUAUAUGGAGGAGCAUCAGGACACCCAUAUUCCUCUUUAGUCGAAGGGGCCACCACCAGAAGCACAACCUCCGCCACAUCAGUUACGACUCCAACAUUACAGGCAACAAUUGCAAAACUCCUCACGGCUAUUAGGGUUAUACCACAGGCACCAUCUCUAGCGGCGGACGUACCUAGCCAGCACUUGAGGUUCAGCUGCCUCCACCAGUUGUGUCACCCCCGCCCGAAGUUUCGGAGGGUGUCACGUCUCUACAUCAUACAGAAAGGUUCUACACCCUUGCAAGAUGUAGCCCGGGCAUUCCAUGAGGCAAUUGAUCUUCUAGCGGAUUCUAUACUUCCAGAUUGGUGGUGAGAUCCUGAGAUUUCGGAUCAUCACUAGUCUAUCCUUAUUUUUCAGUCUUUAGUUCUUUUCGAGACUUAUGUGUAUUUUCAUAUUCAAAUAUUGUAUUAGAUGCUCUUAUACUUAUGACACCAGGUUUUGGAUUUAUUUCCUUAUUAUCCUUCUUUUCCUUUCUAUUGUGGCCCGACUUUCCCCUUGGAGUCUUGCAUGAGUUUUACUUUUAGGCUUACACAUCGGGAUUGGGAAUGGAAUGUGUGUCAUCAUGACCUUGGUAUUUGAGUCGUGACAAAUUGGUAUCAGAGCGUUAGGUUACCGGUCUUAUAAGUUAAAGAAUAAGGUGUCUAGUAGAGUCUUGUUGAUCGGUAUGUAGGCGUCCGUACUUAUCUUCGAAAGGCUACAAGAUAUUUAUUAGGAGAAAUUCCUUCUUUUGAUUCCUUCAUGCGAGUUAUUCAUGUCAAGUGUUGCAUACUUCUAAUCUAUUCCUUCUGCACAGAUGGUGAGGACUAGAGCCAAAGCCAUCGAGAGUGAGGUUGCCCCAAUUCACAGCCGAUGCAGAGGAUGCGGUAGAGUCAAGGGACAAGGCCGAGCGAAGGGACCGCCUACUUAUGGACGAGCUAGAGAGCCAUCACCUGAGAAUGUGUAUGAGCAUGAGGAUGAGUAUGAGCAGCAGACUGAGGAGCAGCAGACUGAGGAGCUGAGGCCAGCCAAGCCUCCUGUGGUUCUUGAUAAUGCUCUGAUGCUUCAGGAGUUACUAGUUAGACUAUUGGCUAGAUUGGAUGGUGCUCCUACCCCAUGUGUUAUCAUAGGUACUUCAGGCUCUCCUAUCGCAGUCGGUACUACACAAGUUUAGGGGCCUAGUGUUGAAUUUCAGACUCCGGGUUCUUCUUCAGUGCCUUCUAUCGUACCUCCGAGAUUUGUAGCUCUGCGAGUUUCUGCUAGUGUUGCUAUGUUAG